rnacentral:lncRNA from 15 species
AUGUAUUGUAGCCAUGCACAUUCUCCUCACAGUCCCACCCAGACAGGGCUUAGUUCUACCCGGGUUCAAUCAGGGCCUGCACAGCCUCAGCAAAGCCCUCCACCACACAGUCCUGUGCAGGACUACAUUUCACAGGCACAGCUCGACCGACCAUGUAGUACUAACAUCAUCACACAGCCUCAGCACAGUCCUACACCACGUAGUCCUGCACAAGUUGGCACAUCACACCCACAGAGUCCCACACAGGAUUCUAAACCUACACUGGACCAGGGGAGCCCUGGAUCAAGCAGCCCUGCUCAGCUGCAAUGUUGGGCUGCACAGGACAUUUCUACACUGGACCAGGACUACUGUAGGUCCACUCAGACAGCAAGAAGACACGCCUCACUGACGCCUAUUUCAGCUCCAUGUAGCCCAUCACCGGCCCCACCCAAAGCCACACAGUGUAGUCUGUCACAACCUACAAGCCCAGUAAAGGCCCACUCCUUACAGCCUGUUAGGCCUUCACAGCUUAGCCUUGUUCCUUCUCAACUUGCUACACAGUCAGAAGUCACAAAGGAAUGCACCCAAACCCCAGAGCUAAAGUCCUUGGAGCAGCUGAGCCCUAACCUUGAUGGCCAAACACUGGAAAGUAGCCCCACCGCUAUCCUGUCCACAAUGCCGCCUGAUAGCCAUGGCACAGAUGGAAACCAGCUUGGUCCAGUUAAGAGUAGCACAGUUGGCCCAGACCAUUCAAGCCCCCUUCACGUCCCAGCAAUGCCCACACCAGAAAGCCUUGUUCACGUUAGCUCUUCAGUGGAACACAGUAGCCUAAUCUGCUCACCUUGUGCUGAUAGAACAGAAGAACACAUUCAUCAGAGUCCUUCUUGUGACAGCCCAUCACGCUGCGCAGAAGCUAAUGAAGGUAAAGCCAGUCCCGUACAUAUCCAAAACAGCUUGGCUAGUUCUAGUCCCAAACAUGCCAGUCAAAUGCCUGCUAGCCCUGCCAGCUCUCCUCUGGCCUGUGCCAGCCCUGUGGCAGUGGAGACUAGCCCUGUCCAUGUCAGCUACACUGUUAAACCCUCAAUGCAACCGGCUAGCCCCAUCCACCCCAUCACAUGUCAAGAUGAGGAGAUGGAGGUAUCUGUCGACCAUUUGCUUCAGUUAGAAACUAGUCCCAGUCAUCCCAACUCCACUGUGGGCAGUCCAGUUCAUACUAGCCCAACUCAUGCUAGCCCAGUCCACACAGAAACUAACAGCGAGUACAGUCUGAUGGGCUCCAUGCAUGCUCAGGAGAGAGCUAGUCCCUCUGUUUGUAGUUUUGCAAAGCUCACACAGACGAGCCAAAGUCCCACACAUCCUGGCCAGUCCAGUCCCUCACAUGUCCAAACUACAAAUAGUCCUUCACAGGCUUCUACAGUACAGACAAGCCCCCUGCCACCUAGCUUUAGUCCUUCACACUGUAGGCCGACUGAUACUAGCUCAGCUGGUAGCUCUGUCAGCCACAGUCUGAGCCACAGUGGCCAGACAAGUUCUUACCCUGCUAGCGAAACUGAUGUUAGCGUCAUCCACAGUCCACCUAGGUCUAGUCCUGCUGGUCAAGCUAGUCCUGUUCACAUACAAAGCACCUCUAGUAGUGCCCACUCAGGCCCAGCCCAAAGACAGACUCCCUUAUUAGCUAACACGACACACAGCAGCCCUGCACAUGCUACUGUCGCUUGUGUGAGCCCACCUCACAGUCCAGCUCAGGCCAGUGAAACAUAUCAUAGUCCCCAGUAUAGCCCAGCUCCUGACACUGGAACCAGUUCUGGCCCUGCUGUGGCUAGUGCACAUCUUGAUAUGGUUGCCAGUUCAAUAAUUCAGAGCUCUGUUCUUCCUGUUGUGGUUCAGCUUCUUUCUACAGACAGCAUUAGGCAGACGAGCCCAACAUCUGCCACUUCCCUACCAGAUGACUUAUCUGCUGUUAGCCCCAACCAGGCCACUCUGAGCCAGGUUAGCCGGUCCCCAGCUGGUCCUCCUCAUACCCCCGACAGGUCUGUUGAGAACCAACAAAGCCCUGCCCCGGGAAGCCCUCUCUGUCACAGCUCAGCUGCCCCUGUUGAUGCUACUUCCACUCAGGCUAGUCCGAGCCAUGCUAGUCCCACUCAGGAUAACACUGUGAUGCCUAGCACUAGUGAAACACCCGCUAGUCCUCCACCCUCUGCCCCCUCACAGGUUAGCCCUCCUCAUGCUCCACAACCUCACGCUAGCUCUGGGCACAGUAACAUGGUUGCUAGUCUUGUUUGUGGCCCCUUGCAAUCAGGUGAUGACCCUAGUCCUGUCCCUACCAGCCCUGUGCGGCCAGAGUCUCCUUCUAGCCCUGAUCCUGCCCGUCAUGUGCAGCCAGAGGCUAGUUCCAGUCCUGGUCUUGGUAGCCCAAUUAAGUGCAAGGCUAGCCCUGGACCCCAUUUUGUUAGCUCUGUUCUUGCCACCCUUGGACAGUCUGAAGAAAGCCCAAGUCCUGGUCCAACUAGCCGUGUGCAGCCUGGUCCUGAUCCUGGUAGCCUCUCUGUUUCCAGCCCCCAGCAGUCUGCAGCCACAGUGGGAGUCCAGCUGGGAUCUGUCCUGAAUGAAGACUUUCAGAGUCCUCCUCACACUGCUCCUGCCUCCCCACUCCUCCCACAGACAACUCCUCCCUCCCCCCAACCCACCACACCACACUCUGCCUUACCCUGCCAGGAGCCCUCCUACUCCCACUCGUCUUCACCUCCUGCCUCACCACAGUCUCCUCCUCCUAGAGCUGGCUCUCUAGAAGUCUCCCCCUCCUCCCCUCACAGGAUUGCCUUACUCCCCUCUUGCUCUACCCACCCCCUGUCUCCCCCCUCCUCCCCUCUGGAGGACCUCCCCCAAGAGGAGGAACUAACCAAUCAACGAGAAGCUGAGACGGGGAAGAGGGCCGAGGCGGUGCUAGAGGACGACAUGCUUUCCUGUCAUGUGACAUUGGGGGAUGAUGACAGCCAAUCACAGAGCCCGUUUGAACCUGUUGCUGUGGCAACAGAAUCCACCAAAGAAGAGCACCAAUCGCACACUGAGCCUUCAGAAAGGGGGGAGGAGGAGGAGGAGGAGGAGGAGUCGGCAGCUAAUAUGGCAGCUGAUUGUGAAGUGGUAGCCAGGCAACAGCCAAUGAGGAAGGAGCAGGAUGCACAGGAGGAGGAGCAGGAGGAGGUGGUGACUGGUAGGAUGGAUGAAGAGGAGGAGGAGGAGGAGGAGGAGGUGGAGGAGGCGAGGGAAGGCACUGAGCCUGAGGACCAAUCAGAUGUGGAGGAGGAGGACCCAAUGAGUCCCGUGCUGGAACUGGACCACUCUUUAGACAUGGAGGUGAUGGAGCUGAUGACCUCCUCGUCUCCUCCCCCGUCCCUCCUGCACCUCUCCACCCCCAGCCCGCCUCCCUUCUCCCGCCGAGGAAAGGGUCGGACUCUCAGGCCUCCUCCUUGCUCCUCAAGGCCAUCAGAUGACCUCUCCAUCCGUCUGAGGCAGUCUCCCUUCUCCACGGAGGCCUCCCCUGAGACCUCCCCCGCCAGAGCUCCCAUCACCCCACCUCCACUCUCCCCGCUCUCACCUCCUCUCCAGUGCGCCCCCCCUGCAAGAGAAUCUCCAACUCUCUCCAAGCCCCAGGCACCUCCCACCACUGUACUCCCCCUCACCCCUAAAAUCGGUAUGGGGAAACCGGCCAUCUCUAAGAGGAAGUUCUCCCCGGGCAGAGCCAGGGUCAAACAGGGUUCGUGGUGGAGUAAUCGCAGGGCGGUGAGCCCCCCCUCAUCCUCCCAGGAUUCCAUGGGUGAGGGAGGUUGGGACAGCCCUAAGCACCGUCCAGCAGACUCCCCCAUCUGGAGCAUGAGAGUGGUAAAGAACCAACUCUGUGUGUGUGUUACUGUGUGUCUGUGUGUGUUACUGUGUGUCUGUGUGUUACUGUGUGUCUGUGUGUUACUGUGUGUCUGUGUGUGUUACUGUGUGUCUGUGUGUGUUACUGUGUGUCUGUGUGUUACUGUGUGUCUGUGUGUUACUGUGUGUCUGUGUGUGUUACUGUGUGUCUGUGUGUUACUGUGUGUGUGUGUGUUACUGUGUGUCUGUGUGUUACUGUGUGUGUGUGUGUGUGAGUGUCUGUGUGUGUUACUGUGUGUCUGUGUGUUACUGUGUGUCUGUGUGUUACUGUGUGUGCUGUGUGUUACUGUGUGUCUGUCUGUGUGUUACUGUGUGUCUGUCUGUGUGUUACUGUGUGUCUGUGUGUGUUACUGUGUGUCUGUGUGUUACUGUGUGUCUGUGUGUUACUGUGUGUCUGUGUGUGUUACUGUGUGUCUGUGUGUUACUGUGUGUCUGUGUGUUACUGUGUGUCUGUGUGUUACUGUCUGUGUGUUACCUGUGUGUUUCUGUGUCUGUGUGUGUUACUGUGUGUCUGUGUGUUACUGUGUGUCUGUGUGUGUUACUGUGUGUCUGUGUGUUACUGUGUGUCUGUGUGUUUACUGUGUGUCUGUGUGUUACUGUGUGUCUGUGUGUUACUGUGUGUCUGUGUGUUACUGUGUGUCUGUGUGUGUUACUGUGUGUCUGUGUGUUACUGUGUGUCUGUGUGUGUGAGAGAGAGAAAGACGAGGCAGAG